UGGGCCUGAAUGAUAGGGAGAGGAUGGAUAAUCUGGGACCUUUUUCUUUGGAGUGGAGGAGGCUGUGGUGUGAGCUUACUGAGGUGUAAAAGAUCAUGAGGGGCCUCUUCUG